GGCAAGAUGGCCGAGUGGUUAUGGCGGAAGUUUCAAGGGUAAUCCUUACCUGUCUAGCAGACAGGCAGUAUGCUUCUAGGGCAACCUGCGUGAGUUCGAAUCUCGCUCUUGUCA